GACGAACGCUGGCGGCGCGCUUAACACAUGCGAGUCGAACGGAAAGGCCUGCUUUCCCUUGUGGAUUGCGGGUACUCGAGUGGCGAACGGGUGAGUAACACGUGAGUGAUCUGCCCCCAACUUGGGUAUAAGCCUGGGAAACUGGGUCUAAUUCCCGAUAGGACUGCAGGGUGGUGCCUGAGGUGGAAAACGAUUUUCUAGUGGUUGGGGAUGAGCUCGCGGCCUAUCAGCUUGUUGGUGGGGUAAUGGCCUACCAAGGCGGCGACGGGUAGCCGGCCUGAGAGGGUGGACGGCCACAUUGGGACUGAGAUACGGCCCAGACUCCUACGGGAGGCAGCAGUGGGGAAUAUUGCACAAUGGGCGGAAGCCUGAUGCAGCGACGCCGCGUGGGGGAUGACGGCCUUCGGGUUGUAAACUCCUUUCGACCGCGAGGAAGCCACCUGGUUGGAAGGGUGGUGACGGUAGUGGUAGAAGAAGCACCGGCUAACUACGUG
rnacentral:rRNA from 1 species